CUACUUCCUCCAGAUUAAGGGUGUUGAGUACCUUGGGGAAAAUUUGAUCUUCAUACUCAGGAUAUCUAUUUUUGAUUCUUUCUUCUUUUCACAGGACUACUUAACAAACCAUGAUCAACAACAGCCAAACAGCAACCAACAACUCACCAACAACCCCCACUCUUUGAGCCCUAGCGUUUAUAUACUCUCUGAGAAGUUCCCAGAAUUCCAAAUAACAUACAAUCACAGCUGGCAGAAACUAUCUGAAGCUGGCAAAAUCAUGCCCCUGCCAGAGCACGAGGCAAACAAUAGUCAGCUGCUGUGAAUCAGCUCCGUAUUCCCACACCUGGGAUUAAAACAAAAAUAUAUUCUUAUAAUAUUUCUGUAUGUUUUUAAAGAAACAAAAUUCCAGAAUUCUCACUAUACUAGUUCAUUUGCCAACCUAGAUGGGAGAAAUCUCACAAGACCGCAUCUCCAGAUGGAGAACUAUACGGAAUCAUUGGCUGCUAAGAGAGGGAAAGUCAGUCUUCUGGGAAGAUGAACCUCCUGAUAGGUUAUUUAAUCCCAAUAAGUCAGCCUUAAACACAUAGCAUGCAAGCCCCACUAAAUGGACUUAGUAGGUUAUGUUUUAUGUGUAUAUGUGUGUAAUAGUAAUUGAAAAAGAGGUCAUGAAUUUUAAUGGAGUGGAGAGAAAACAGAAGGAGUUGGAGGGGAGCAGGACGAUUAGAAAUUAUAUAAAUACAGUAAAUAAUAAAAAAAACUGACAGGGAUUUUGAGGGUUCUGGCUGAUUGGUGAAGUUCCCUUGAGUGCUCCACCUUCCUUUUCAAAACUAAUGACACCAACAAGGUUUUGAAACUCCACUGUAUCUCCAUUGUAUGUCACAUUACUGCACAGCCCUGUUUGCUUCUGGUGUUCCUUUCAUGAUAAUUUGAGAUGCUAUUUGAGAUCCUAUUUACUGUGAGUAAAUAUCAAACACAUCUUGAUAUCUAUAUCUGUUUCAUGAAAUAUACAUAUUCUUGAUCUGUGCUCAAUAAUCAAUUUACAGCUGUGUGAUGAUAAGCGUGAAAAUUUCAUCACAACUUGAGACUGAAAUGUUAUCACUAAUUGCCACUUGAAAUGAAGGAUAUUUGUGGUAUAGAAAUUAAUAUGUGCUUUCUUUUCAAGUCUCUGUUAAUCUGAAAAUCCCAAUACUGUUUUAGGAACAGAAAAAAAAAUUACUUUUAAAUUUUGUUUUCAUUUUCCCCUCUCUCUGAAAUGCUUCAUAGUUAGCCAAAGCAAGGGUAGGAGGAGGUUAAUGAAGUUUCUACAUAAAAUGAGACAGAGGAACUCAAAUCUCAUCAAAUCAAAUCUUCCAAUCAAUUGACUACUUACCUCAGAUAAAACCAUUCCCCUGGAUUUUAGAGUCUCCCAGGACUCUUAAAACUUGACAAAUGAAUACUCAUAUGCUUGCCACACAUCCAAAGAGUCCUAGAAUUCUUGAGGAGAGCCAGAUAUUCUUCAGUAUUAUUAAUUACUAAUAUUAUGGUGGCUAUUCCAGAUCUAUUACAGUACCUACAAGAUUACCUGCAAGUGUGAUGUCCUUCAGAAAGCCUUGUCAUAUUUUUCAUAUUUAAAGAACACUUAGCUAGGUUUUAGACCUUCACAAUGAAGCCGAACUUUGCUUUAAUUUUUUUCCUUAAUUCAAAGUACCAGUUAGUAUAUCCCAAAGAAUUUCCAAGCUAAACUUACCUCUGAGCCUCUCUCUUACCAUACAAAGCAUUUCUAAUACCCACUCUUAGUCAACCAUGCAAAGAACCAACUAGCAUUCUUUCAGUUAAUCCUUACUCAAUGCAAUGAGGCAGAUCCGAUAUUAAUACCCAUUUUAGAAAUUGGAAAACCUAGGUAUAUACCUCAUAAAUAACUACUUCAAGUGACAGAAUUGAUAAAAUAUGAUUGAAACCUAUAAAAUUAAAUUCAAAUAGCAUUCUUAUACAAAUAGAUUUUGUAGCUGGUGGCCUUCCUAGUCUUUAUCGG
rnacentral:lncRNA from 1 species